UACGUAGACAGCAAGCGUUGUUCGGAAUUACUGGGCGUAAAGAGUGUGUAGGCGGUGCUCUAAGUUCGUUGUGAAAUCUCCCGGCUUAACUGGGAGGGUGCGGCGGAAACUGGAGUGCUUGAGCGCGGGAGAGGAAAGCGGAAUUCCUGGUGUAGCGGUGAAAUGCGUAGAUAUCAGGAGGAACACCUGUGGUGUAGACGGCUUUCUGGACCGUAGCUGACGCUGAGACACGAAAGCGUGGGUAGCAAACAGG
rnacentral:rRNA from 1 species